AGAACGAACGCUGGCGGCGUGGAUAAGACAUGCAAGUCGGACGGGAUUACCUUUGGUAGCAAUACCGAAGGUGAUUCAGUGGCGAACGGGUGCGUAACACGUGGGCAAUCUGCCGAGAAGUGGGGGAUAGCUCGCCGAAAGGCGAAUUAAUACCGCAUGUGAUGAGGAAGGACAUCUUUCUGAAAUCAAAGGUGGCGCAAGCUACCGCUUUUUGAGGAGCCCGCGGCCUAUCAGCUUGUUGGUGGGGUAAUGGCCUACCAAGGCGACGACGGGUA
rnacentral:rRNA from 1 species